rnacentral:rRNA from 1 species
GGACGACGCUGGCGGCGUGCUUAACACAUGCAAGUCGAACGGUGACGGAGAGCUUGCUCUCCUGAUCAGUGGCGAACGGGUGAGUAACACGUGGGCAACCUCGCCCCAGACUUCGGGAUAACGCUUCGAAAGAGGUGCUAAUACCGAAUACGAACGCCGUGGGCAUCCACGGUGUUGGAAAGUUUUCGGUCUGGGAUGGGCCCGCGGCCUAUCAGCUUGUUGGUGAGGUAAUGGCUCACCAAGGCGACGACGGGUAGCCGGCCUGAGAGGGCGACCGGCCACACUGGGACUGAGACACGGCCCAGACUCCUACGGGAGGCAGCAGUGGGGAAUAUUGCGCAAUGGGCGAAAGCCUGACGCAGCAACGCCGCGUGGGGGAUGAAGGCCUUCGGGUUGUAAACCUCUUUCAGCAGGGAAGAAGCGAAAGUGACGGUACCUGCAGAAGAAGCACCGGCUAACUACGUG